CUUUCAUUGGUUCUUUCCAUGUGCCCAUCAAACAGCGCCUGAUUCCUUGUGUUAGAAACUGAGACCUACGAGUCUCAUUCCAAUGAAACGGUCCCAGUAAAACCGCUUUACCCUGUAGACUGCUGUGGUACAGGCCGACACAUUUGGCUAUCGUCACUGCGUAGCCUAGCUAGCUAUAUCAGUUGUGACUGCCUGAGCUGAUUGUUGCCUUCUGUCAUGUUUCCGUGUCGGUUUCUCUUUCAAAUGUAUCCUAUCCGCUCAUAAUAGUCAGGCUGUAUGAUAUUUUAUAAAUCUGAAAUGUAGUGUUUCGGGUGGAUUUAAACGGUGAUUUGGGUGCGGCACUGUGUUUGGAGAAAAAGGGGUUUGCGCUGCGACGGUGGACUUUUUUGCCUUUUGUAUUUCCUCGCCUGUUGUGGACAUUUUGGAUUGCUAUUUUAUUUUUUGGUUUUACAUUCAUUUUAAAUGUUUCCAGGAUAUUUGGGGUGGCUUUUAUGGAACGAUAGUACGAGUUUGUCAGCAUCUCCUACUUAGGUUUUGUUUUCUAUCGACAAGAAAACUUUAAACGACAAAUAAGUUUGGAGAGGAUUGAUCCAGGCGAAAGAAUGCAUUAGCAAGCUAAUCAGUUAGCUUAUUUCUCUGCUGAACCUGAAGCUAGCUAGCUGAUGUAGCUAUCCACAUAUCAAAGAAUUGAGGCGAGGUAAUCCGUCUGCUCAAAUGACUCCUUGACAGAAGAAUUUCAACCUCUUAUGUGGAGGAUUUUAAUUAAAUCCAGGAAUUCAACCCUUAAAUGUGUACGAACCACUGGAAUACACACCUAACGUUACAGCAAAGACGAGCACCUGUGCACGUGUGAUCCCUCCACUCCAGCACAGGACCCUGCAGAGCUGCUCGUAAAUGAGAAGGUAAUGCUGAUGCGUUGUCAUCGCCGUUAACCUUUUGUGCUAACACACACACACGCAUAACAGCAAAAAUCACAUUAGCAAACAUUUUCACACACGUAUACAGAAAUCAACAGGGAGCAUGGUGUUGGGAACAUAAUGAGUGUUUUGGAGAAAAGCUUGUAUAAAGCCUUAAUCAGUUUUAUUGAGAGGGAUUUCUGUGCUGUCUCUUUAAAACUGGUGUGUGAAGUCUGUAUGAAUGAUAUAACUGUACAUGACCUGAAUGGCUCACAUGCUCACGUAACAUAUAAAACUUCAGUCACUUGGGGUAGAUCCUGUACUGUGUCCAAAAAUGACUGGGCCACCUAUAUUUUAAUCCUACAGCAAAACUAUGAAUAACACCAGUGACAAGUUGAUUCAAAUCAUCUAAGGACUGUCAUGAGGAAUUCAUUUUGAGAUAGAUAUAUA